GAGGACUGAGAGUGACUGGCUGUGCCGAAGCCCAUUGCUACCUCAUAUAGAUGAGGCCUGAGACUGGGAAUUUCAGACGUGGAAGUUGUUGGUGACAAAAGUGCCUUCAGUGGAGUGACAGGGACAGAUGCCAGACUGGAGUGGGGGCAAGAGGAAAUGGGAGGAAAGAAGAAACUGGAAACAUCAGGGAGACCCCCCACUGCUGCCAAGGCUGUAAAGAGAAGGGGAGAAAGUGGGUGGUGGCUGGGAGGGAAAGUGAGGUCGGGAGAGGGUUUCUUUAAGGCUGGAGAAAUGACAUUUCUCCAUUUGUAUGUCGGUGGCCUGAAUCCAAUAAAGAGAGGAUAACUGAUGCUGCAGGAGGAAAGGAGAGACUUGCUGGAGGGAUGUCCUUGGGAAGGCAACCUGGACACAGGUGGAGGGCACCUUUACUAGCAGCAUGGACAGCUCCUUCAGAGGAGUCCUCGAGCCAAGUGCAGAACACUGGCAGGCAGCUGGAUGCAGAGCCAGGGUCUGGGGAGUAGAUGUAAGGUCAGCCGCUGGAUGUGAGGAGGGGAUGAAGGGCUGGAGGCUGACAGAGAGAGGGGAAGUGGGGAACCAGCAGUCCAGGGGUGCAAGAGCACGAAUGGGUCUGAAAAUGCAGGGGUGUGGCUGGGCGGCCCCCAGGGACACGGAAGCAGCCCUCCUGAACACGGUGUAGGACCAGACCAGGGCUAUGUCCCCUUCAGUUUCCCUCUGUCACCCAGGCUGGAGUGCAGUGGCACGAUCUCAGCUUACUUCAGUCUCCACCUCCCGGGUUCGAGCGAUCCUCCCACCUCAGCCUCCCGAGUAGCUGGGAUUACAGGUGUGUGCCACCACGCCCAGCUAAUUUUUGUAUUUUUAGUAGAGAUGGGGUUUCACCAUGUUGGCCAGGCUGAUCUUGAACUCCUGACCUCAGGUGAUCUACCGGCCUCAGCCUCCCAAAGUGCUGGGAUUACAGGCGUGAGUCACUGCACCCGGCCCUGUUUCUUCUCUUAUUUCUUCUUGCUUUUCUGCCUCUGUGGCUCCCCACAUCCUGUCCCUCACCUCCUCUCCCUGCAUCCUCAUCGCUCCCUGUACCUACUUUCCCUCCUGUUCUUCCUCACGCGCUGAUUCUCUGGCCCCAUCAGCUCUCUUACUUCCCCACCUCCUGCAUUCCUCCGCCCUUCUCACGAUCCCCACCACCCUCCACGUAUGGCUCCCAAUGCCACGAUCUUCACGCACCUCAGCCCCUGGGGGUCCCUGUUCCUGCCCAUCCCCGCCCCCAGCCUCCUCACCUCCUCGGACUCUGCUGACCUCCGUGUGGACCAUAUGAAUUCCAUGACCGCCACGAAGACAGCAAUGAUGAGGCCACAGAUGAGUACGACAAAAAUGCCACCAAUGUUCUCCAUGCCCAAACCUAGGGGGCAAAGGGAGUUAGGGAGUCAUGGAGUUGGGGCCGUGUGGGAAGGGGGCUGGGAGGGCACUGUGGGAAGGGGACACCACACGCAGAAGCUGACCUUUAGCUCGAUGGUCCUCCUCCUUGGGGCACCGGCCCCCCUCCCACCAUUUGCGCUUCAGGAUCUCCAGCCGGUUGUUCUCCUGAAGCUGCAGGAUGGCCAGUGUGAUCUCAUCCCGGAACGGGGAGCCUGGGCGGGCACAUGAGGGGCUGGACCAGCCAUCGGAGCCCCGCAGCCCUGCCCGCCCCAAAUCCCAAACUGUGCCCUCACCACAGCCUUCCCCCGCUUCCACCACGUGCCCGGGGUCUUCCCUGUGGCCUCCCCUCACCCACCCCCACCCCGCCCAGUCUCCUCUCAACACAGCAGCCAGAGAGACAGUGUUAGGAAGAGUCACAGACCACGCCUUUCCUGUGCUCAGGACUCUCCGUGGCUUCCUGUUGCAAGCUCCUCCCCUCAGCCACUCUCAGACACCCUCAUCCCCACGGCUCUCAGCUCCAGCCCCACCAGCCUCCUGGAUGCUCCCCAAAUCCAUCACACACAGUCCUGUCUUAGGACCUCUGCCUCUGCCUGGAAUGUUCCUCUCCGCACUUCAUCCAGGUCUCUGCCCACAUGCUGGCUCCCCAGGGAGUCUAUUCUGACGACUUUAUUUAAAAUGGCACCAAGUGCCCCACUCCCUGUCAGUGUCUUCCCCUUAAUUUACUUUGGAGCAGCUGUUACCACCUAACACUGUAUUAUAUGGCUAUGUGUUUAUCAUCUGUCACCUGCAGCCCCGUCAGGGUAUCACAGCAUCCAUUGCGGGACUUGGUAUGCAGUAGGACACCAGACGAAUCCCCAUCCACACCUCUCCCUGGACCACCUCUCCUCCCCACCCUCAAGUCCUGCCCUUAAGCUAUCCUUGGGUUUCAACACCUCACACACCCUAUUCUAUACUUAUUUCUUCAUUGACUAAGAUACUUCCUGACCAUCUACCACAGAAUCAGAGACAUGGGCAGGUGAAGGUGAUUAAUAUCUACCAGGCACCAACUGUGUGCCAGACCCUGGGUUUACUCAGGUCUUAUGAUGAUCCUGUGGGGCAGGUAUUCCCACCUGAGGCAAGUGUUUCUGAAUGAGGAAAGCGAUACACUUGCUUAAGGCUGUGCGCUGGGUCAGGGAGGAAACUGGGAUUUCUUUUUUUUUUUUUUUUGAGACAGAGUCUCACUUGGUUACCCAGGCUUGCAUACAGUGGCAUGAUCAUUGUUCACUGCCACCUCCACUUCCUGGGCUCAAGUGAUCCUCCUACCUCAGCCUGUAGCUGAGACUACAGGUGCAUACCACACCUGGCUAAUUUUUUAAUUUUUUGUAGAGACAGGGUCUUGCUAUGUUGCCCAUGCUGGUCUCAAACUCUUAGGCUCAAGUGAUCCUUCUGGCUUGGCCUCCCAAAGCACUGGAAUUAUAGGCAUAAAUCACAGUGACCAGACGGAACUGGGAUUUGAAUCCAGGUCGGUGUCACUCCUGGGCCUGUCCUCCAAGCACUAACCUACACUGCUUCCCUGGCACCGACUCACCUACAAAACUGCUAAGAUCUGGAGCAAUUUGCUAUGCAGUAAUAGAUAACUAAUACAGGUGUCAUCAGUACGUGGAUGAUUUUAAAAGUCAAAAUGCC